GACCGCCCUCACAAGGGGGCUAAGGCCAUACGGACAGCCGGGUCCACUGCCGA
rnacentral:sRNA from 1 species